rnacentral:rRNA from 1 species
GACGAAGGGGGCUAGCGUUGUUCGGAAUUACUGGGCGUAAAGCGCGCGUAGGCGGUUCUUCAAGUCAGGCGUGAAAGCCCCGGGCUUAACCCGGGAAUAGCGCUUGAUACUGUGGGACUUGAGUCCGGGAGAGGAUAGUGGAAUUCCCAGUGUAGAGGUGAAAUUCGUAGAUAUCGGAAGGAACACCAGUGGCGAAAGCGGCUCCCUGGUCCAGCACCGACGUCAGGCACGAAAGCGUGGGGAGCAAACAGG